UGCUAUCGGGAUCCGACUCAGCCAUGCGAGUUCAGAGUGUGAGAGGUCACACUCGGCGAACGGCUCAGUAACACGUAGGUAACCUGCCCUAAGGACCAGGCCAACCCCGGGAAACUGGGGUCUAUCCUGGAUAGGAGAGGAAAGCUGGAACGAGUCCUCUUUGAAAUAGUUAGUGCCUUAGGAUGGGCCUGCGGCCGAUUAGGUUGUUGGUGGUGUAAAGGACCACCAAGCCGAGGAUCGGUACCGGCUAUGAGAGUAGGAGCCGGGAGAAGGGCACUGAGACAAGGGCCCUAGCCCUACGGGGCGCAGCAGGCACGGAACCUCCACAAUGCGCGAAAGCGUGAUGGGGGGAACCCGAGUGCUUCUGCUUUGCAGGAGCUUUUUUGGAGUGUAAGGAGCUUCAAGAAUAAGGGGUGGGUAAGACCGGUGCCAGCAGCCGCGGUAAUCCCGGCACCUCGAGUGGUGACCAAGGUUAUUGGGUCUAAAACGUCCGUAGCCGGCCUAGUACGUCGGAAGUGAAAUCCUGGGGCUCAACUCCAGGGCGUGCUUCCGAUACGACUGGGCUAGGGACCGGGAGGAGCCAGGGGUACUCCCAGAGUAGGGGUGAAAUCCUGUAAUUCUGAGAGGACCACCAGCGGCGAAAGCGUCUGGCUAGAACGGAUCCGACGGUGAGGGACUAAGGCCAGGGCCGCGAUCGGGAUUGAAUACCCCGGUAGUCCUGGCUAUAAACGCUGCGGGCUUGGUGCUGCUGUAGCUUAGAGCUAUAGCAGUGUCGGAGUGAAGACGUUAAGCUCGCUACCUGGGGAGUACGGUCGCAAGGCAGAAACUUAAAGGAAUUGGCGGGGGAGCACUACAAGGGGUGGAGCCUGCGGUUUAAUUGGAUCAAACGCCGGAGACCUCACCCGGGGCGACAGCAGUAUGAGGGCCAGAUUAAAGGUCUUGCUGGACGCGCUGAGAGGUUGUGCAUGGUCAUCGUCAGCUCGUAUCGUGAGAUGUCCGGUUAAGUCCGGUAACGAGCGAGACCCUCACCCUUAGUUGCCACCUCCUUUCCUUGGAAAGGAGCGCACACUAAGGGGACUGCCUUCGAAAGGAGGAGGAAGGCGUGGGCGACGAUUGAUCAGUAUAUACCGAAUCCCCGGGGCUACACGCGGGCUACAAUGGCCAAGACAGAGGGUUGCGACUCCGAAAGGAGAAGCUAAUCCCUAAACUUGGUCGAAGUUCGGAUCGAGGACUGCAACUCGUCCUCGUGAAGCUGGAAUCCCUAGUAACCGUAGGCCAUACACCUGCGGUGAAUACGUCC
rnacentral:rRNA from 1 species